ensembl:lincRNA
GCCGCUGGUUGGCUCGCGCACCGCCCUCGCCUCCAAUCCCCAGUGCCUGUCCUAAUUUCCUGAUCCUGGGAACCUGCCGCCGCAGCAGCUGUGCGCUCCCUACAGUCAUUACUGUACCCUCCCGGCUGCCGCCGACAGUAAAUGCAGCAGGAGCAGUUAGCGCUGAUGCAACUAUUGCUGCAGUUGCUCUGGCCUCCCCACUAACGGGACUUGCCGCUCGCGAGGGUGGGGUGCAGCUUCCAGGGACAGCAAACAUCUUUGUGUCACCCUGUCCUGCGCCCCUCAAAGAGGCUGGUACUGAGAGGCCGCGUCUUAAAAUCUCCAGACAAGCCUAGAAGGAUAAAAGUAUUGGAUCUCUACUCUACUAUACCAAUGUUGGGAAGCAGGCCUGGGCGUGAGCAUUUUGAGGCUCCAGAUUGCAUGGUUAUAGAAAAAACUAUUGUAUGAACCAGAGAGGGUAACUGACGCCAAAGACAUGACUGCAGCAUCCACUUAAAGGCAUGACCUCCUAAAUGAGAAGCAUGUUCAGUUCGAUGGAGGGAGCCAGACACAUGCAAGACAUGUACAACUGGGAAGCUGGAAGAGCAUUGGGUCAGAGAACAGCUCAACAGCAAAGAUCUGCUAGAAGCAAGGACAUCUCAGUCAAGGCUGGGACAAAGGCAGCAUCCCAGGAAGUACAAGAUGUGCCUGUCUCCAUUUCCCUGAUACUUCACUGUGGACUGCAGAUGAAGGAUAAACAAACAACCACUCAUCUUUGCUUGAAAGGCCCACGAGGCCAAAACAGGGCUGAUGACCCACAUGGAGGUAUUAACAAGUCUUAAAUCCUAUUCUCUCAAUAUAGCACAGAGCUAUCACUGAGUUAAUAAAGAUAAAGCCGAUGAAAUAAAGUCUAUGAAAACUUCCCAAGUUUGGUCCUUCCUAGCCAAGUUUGCUUUGGGAGGUGACUGUACUAUCAUCUUCAGUCCUCAAGACUUUUCCCCAUUCUCCAGACCAACUCCUUGCCAUGGAAUCCUCUUCAUGAUUCACUCAGCAGAGCCUCUUCAAAAGGAAAACAAGUUUGCUGACUGGGCUGCCUUUCCUGAGUGGGAGGAGUAAGAGUAGUGCCUUGGUUACCUAUGAAUCAUCAAAAAAAAAGAAAAUACAAGUCAGACCAUGCUCCCUCUUAGCCAACCAUGGCCUAUGAAGACCAGAGCUCUGGUGCAGAAUAUCAUUGGCCCAUCAGUCUCAAGGCCACCUCUCAGUUCCACAUGUACCAUAAGUGCACAAAGUCACCAAACUGAACGCUAUUAAAUUUAUCACUGGUCUGCUUUCUUAGUUAGGGUUUACUAAAAGAACAGAUUUAACAUACAAUAUGAAAUCAAGGGUGUAAGAAUGCAAAGUGCCUGUCUGCAUACUGCAGGGCCGGAAGAGCCAGUUGAAGAUUGAAGGCCUGCAUCUCACCACAGAAUUCAGGAUGAGUCUGUGUUACAAAAAACAAAAGGGUCUGCAUUUGAAAGCUGAAGAGUCUGCACUGGAAGCCUCAAGGAAUUGAAGAUGAACAUCUACGGGAAUGACAAAGACUGGAGCUCCUCAAAGAAAGAAAGGGAAGAUUUAGUUAUUUUCCUCCUCAUUCUGUCUAGGCUAUAAGCCAGUUGGUUGGUGCAACUCACAUCUGAGAUGGAUCUUUCUCCUCAGUUUGGUCUAUGUAUCAAUUAUCCUCAGACACACCCAGCGCUUUUGUAAUCUGCUAGGUAUUUCUUAUUCAAGUCAAGCUGACAUCACAGUGAUCACAUCUGCCUUUUGUAGAAACUGCUGGGAAUUCAUAUUUCUGCCCGUUUCCUAACAUAUGAGCCUUCCUUUCAUCUCUUAAAACAUUUCUGCCCACUCUCACAUCACCAUGCAUCUAAAGAUGUCUAGCCCUCUGCUAUUUUAUGUAUAUUUGUCCUUCAUCCAGAGGCAUUGGUAGCAGAGCCUAACUUCUUGGGAAUGCAUCCCAGCUGUUUCACUUUAAAACAUGGACUCCACUAAUGACAACAACUUGUGGCUCAGUUUCUACAGUUGUUAAAUGAAGAUUUACCACCUUUUCUUCCAAAAUUUCCGUGGGCUUCUAAUUUAUCAGUGUGCAUUCCUGAUCCUAUCUGAACUAUUUCCCACACAGACUCACAUUUGUGGAUCCACAAGCCUGGCCAUCGUGAUAUUCAAGACUCAUUCUUCACUUGGUCUUAUAUACUGCGUAAAAAGUCAUCAAAGUGUAUCUAUUGUUUAUGUCUGGAUACUAUGCUUCAAAAACUAUUUACUUAAAAUUUUUUCAGUUAUGUCACAACUACUUCACUAGACAGGACUUACUUUUUUUACUCUGCUCUCCCCUUCCCUUUAAAGAAUUAUACAUAUACACUUUAAUAAAAAGUAAAAUAAAACAACAAACAAAUGAAAAUUUAAAAUGAUGCAUGCACAUUCUCAGCACCUGGAG